UCCGUAGGUGAACCUGCGGAGGGAUCAUUACCGAGUUUACAACUCCCAAACCCAAUGUGAACGUUACCAAACUGUUGCCUCGGCGGGAUCUCUGCCCCGGGUGCGUCGCAGCCCCGGACCAAGGCGCCCGCCGGAGGACCAACCAAAACUCUUUUUGUAUACCCCCUCGCGGGUUUUUUAUAAUCUGAGCCUUCUCGGCGCCUCUCGUAGGCGUUUCGAAAAUGAAUCAAAACUUUCAACAACGGAUCUCUUGGUUCUGGCAUCGAUGAAGAACGCAGCGAAAUGCGAUAAGUAAUGUGAAUUGCAGAAUUCAGUGAAUCAUCGAAUCUUUGAACGCACAUUGCGCCCGCCAGUAUUCUGGCGGGCAUGCCUGUCCGAGCGUCAUUUCAACCCUCGAACCCCUCCGGGGGGUCGGCGUUGGGGAUCGGCCCUGCCUCUUGGCGGUGGCCGUCUCCGAAAUACAGUGGCGGUCUCGCCGCAGCCUCUCCUGCGCAGUAGUUUGCACACUCGCAUCGGGAGCGCGGCGCGUCCACAGCCGUUAAACACCCAACUUCUGAAAUGUGACCUCGGAUCAGGUAGAAUACCCCCAAUUUU
rnacentral:rRNA from 1 species